rnacentral:rRNA from 1 species
AACGAACGCUGGCGGCAGGCCUAACACAUGCAAGUCGAGCGCACCUUCGGGUGAGCGGCGGACGGGUUAGUAACGCGUGGGAACAUACCCUUUUCUACGGAAUAGCCUCGGGAAACUGAGAGUAAUACCGUAUAAGCCCUUCGGGGGAAAGAUUUAUCGGGAAAGGAUUGGCCCGCGUUAGAUUAGAUAGUUGGUGGGGUAAUGGCCUACCAAGUCUACGAUCUAUAGCUGGUUUUAGAGGAUGAUCAGCAACACUGGGACUGAGACACGGCCCAGACUCCUACGGGAGGCAGCAGUGGGGAAUCUUAGACAAUGGGCGCAAGCCUGAUCUAGCCAUGCCGCGUGUGUGAUGAAGGUCUUAGGAUCGUAAAGCACUUUCGCCAGGGAUGAUAAUGACAGUACCUGGUAAAGAAACCCCGGCUAACUCCGUGCCAGCAGCCGCGGUAAUACGGAGGGGGUUAGCGUUGUUCGGAAUUACUGGGCGUAAAGCGUACGUAGGCGGAUUGGAAAGUUGGGGGUGAAAUCCCAGGGCUCAACCCUGGAACUGCCUCCAAAACUAUCAGUCUAGAGUUCGAGAGAGGUGAGUGGAAUUCCAAGUGUAGAGGUGAAAUUCGUAGAUAUUUGGAGGAACACCAGUGGCGAAGGCGGCUCACUGGCUCGAUACUGACGCUGAGGUACGAAAGUGUGGGGAGCAAACAGG